GAUGAACGCUGGCGGCGUGCCUAAUACAUGCAAGUCGAGCGAACGGACGAGAAGCUUGCUUUUCUGAUGUUAGCGGCGGACGGGUGAGUAACACGUGGAUAACCUACCUAUAAGACUGGGAUAACUUCGGGAAACCGGAGCUAAUACCGGAUAAUAUUUUGAACCGCAUGGUUCAUAAGUGAAAGACGGUCUUGCUGUCACUUAUAGAUGGAUCCGCGCCGCAUUAGCUAGUUGGUAAGGUAACGGCUUACCAAGGCAACGAUGCAUAGCCGACCUGAGAGGGGGGUCCGGCCCACCGGGACUGAGACAAGGGCCAGACUCCUAAGGGAAGCAGCAAUAAGGGAUCUUUCCGAAAGGGGCGAAGGCUUAACGAAGAAACGCGCGGGGAUUGUUAAGGUCUUUGGGUUCGUAAACCUCGGUAAUAGGGAAAAAAAAUAUGUGUAGGAACCAGGCACCACUUGAACGUACCCUAACAAGAAAGCACGGCUUACCUACGU
rnacentral:rRNA from 1 species